ACCUCUAACCUUACGUAACCGAGAAAUUCAGAGCGUUCUCAAAAUCCAUUCCAAAUCGUUGGAAUUCCAUUAAAGCCUUGAAAUCGCGGUGGACGUUGUUCCGACGAAGUUUCGAAGUCCCGGUCGCUGCCUCGAAAAAGUGCCCGAACGUUGAGUCAUGCCUCAAAAUCAGAUUUGCAAGCAAGCUGAUGUGCGACGAUAUACAACAUGUAUACAGUAGUAUAUGUGUGAUACAUACCAUAGAAUGGAAAAGAGAAGCUGACCAUACAAAUGGAGGACUAAAUAUAAUAUAUGCAUAUAUGGUUGAUAUACACUCUGAUAUACAAAAACGCAGGGAAAGAAUAGCUGCUGUAUACAGCUGAUAUACAGGAGCAAAAAUGGACUUAAAAGUCCAUAAAAUGCAGGCCCAGGGGCUGGGCAGCCUACUAGCGGGCCUAAAGUGGCCCAAUUCUAACUUUUAUUUUACAUUCUCAUGAAUUGCAAUUUAAAUGCUUCCUUAUUUUGUAUUAACACAAACUUUUAACUAAUUUUAAUCUAGUGAUUUCCCCACGUUGUCGCCA